AUUGAACGCUGGCGGCAGGCCUAACACAUGCAAGUCGAACGGUAGCACAGAGAGCUUGCUCUCGGGUGACGAGUGGCGGACGGGUGAGUAAUGUCUGGGAAACUGCCCGAUGGAGGGGGAUAACUACUGGAAACGGUAGCUAAUACCGCAUAACGUCGCAAGACCAAAGAGGGGGACCUUCGGGCCUCUUGCCAUCGGAUGUGCCCAGAUGGGAUUAGCUAGUAGGUGGGGUAACGGCUCACCUAGGCGACGAUCCCUAGCUGGUCUGAGAGGAUGACCAGCCACACUGGAACUGAGACACGGUCCAGACUCCUACGGGAGGCAGCAGUGGGGAAUAUUGCACAAUGGGCGCAAGCCUGAUGCAGCCAUGCCGCGUGUAUGAAGAAGGCCUUCGGGUUGUAAAGUACUUUCAGCGAGGAGGAAGGCAUUAAGGUUAAUAACCUUGGUGAUUGACGUUACUCGCAGAAGAAGCACCGGCUAACUCCGUGCCAGCAGCCGCGGUAAUACGGAGGGUGCAAGCGUUAAUCGGAAUUACUGGGCGUAAAGCGCACGCAGGCGGUCUGUCAAGUCGGAUGUGAAAUCCCCGGGCUCAACCUGGGAACUGCAUCCGAAACUGGCAGGCUAGAGUCUUGUAGAGGGGGGUAGAAUUCCAGGUGUAGCGGUGAAAUGCGUAGAGAUCUGGAGGAAUACCGGUGGCGAAGGCGGCCCCCUGGACAAAGA
rnacentral:rRNA from 1 species